rnacentral:lncRNA from 1 species
AUGGGCCCAGCUGAUCUUUGCCAGAGUGUGUUUCUGAUGCCAGUCAUCUCUUCCUUCUGUGCCUACUUUGUGGAAGUCAGUUAUGGAAGAAAGAACAUCCCCUUCACAGUCUGCGCAGCCUCUCCCUGCCGUGCUCCUCUGCUUCGCACCGCUACAUGGGCCUGCUGUGCUGCUGCCCUGGACCUUGCCCCUGCCCCUGCCCAGCUCCAUCACCUUCACCAUCGUGGCAAUGCCCAGGAUGACGGCAGCAGGUGCCACCAGGAUGGGUGUCGGAGCCUCAUGGAGUACGUAAGAGGAAGAGCAGCCGCUGCCAUGCUCUUCUGUGGCUGUAUCAUGCUGGUGACCUGUUCCAUUCUCACCUUCUUUGCCCUCUGUGCAGCCCCGAUGCUAGUCCUCCUGGAAGUGAGUUGGAGGCCUCCUUGCCCUGGCUGCUGUGUGACAGAUCAUCUCCCUGGUAAUUAACCCUGUGAAGUAUACCGAUACCUUCAACCUUCACGCCAAUCCUGCCGUCACAUCACAUCUGUCACUGGCCCCAAUUAUCCUGAUUGGCUGUCCUUUACGAAGAUAACCUCCUGGGAGGCGCCAAGCCCAGAUACUUCCACAUCCGCCUGGUUGGGGAGGAGAACAGGAGAAGACCCUGCUGAGAAGGACUCCAGAGGAAGAAGCUGUUUCCCUAGGCGACUUCCAACCUAUUUUGGGGCAGUGUUCACAAUAUUAAACUAGUAGAAAACACUAUAAUAAUUUGGGAGAAAAUAUUGUGUUACAAUUUCAUAUUCACUUUUUAUAUAUGUUCUUUGGAGCUGACGUGUUUGUUUUCACUAACCUUGUAUCUAUCCAUAACAGUUACAUUACAUUUAUAAGAGAAGAUGAACAUGAAACGUACCACUUUAUAAAGUAAAAAUGAAAAAGCCUCCAAGAUUUAAUAAACUGAUCACGUUUUUGUUAUUUCCAGAUAGAAUGGACUGUAUCUAUUAAGGGCUAAGGAGGAGAGAGAUAUUGGUAAAAAUUGUCAGUGACCAAACGUUCUAAAAAGAAAUGCAAAACAAAAUAUUUUUUGUUAUUGAGCCUUCAAUUAUUUAAAGAUGCAAAAUGGUUUCCUAAAUACAUAUCAUUUGUAACAAUUUCUCAUUAAUAUCUUGAAUAAUUCACCGUUUUUGCUAAGUUUCACGUUGACUUUACAUGCCAUUUAGGAAAUGAUUGUUUCGUGGCCAAAACAUGUUGCAGUGGUAAGGCUUUCUUAAACAGUAAAAUGUUUAGAUGAAAUUUUCUCUUUGAAAAUUCUCACAGGGUGAGGGUGUGGGAAAAAUGCUAUAUUAAUAAAUAAAUAAAUCUGCACUAUUUUGUGUCUGCAUGUUCAGUACCAAAGUAGACUUGGAUGAAAGAUGGACUGGGUCUAAUUCAUCAUGACUGCUAGUCCUGAUUAGGUUGUGUAGCAAAGCAUUAGAAAGGCCAUUCCCAUCACAGGAGUGCUAUUAAAAUAGCCUAAGAAGAAGAAACAGUUUUUUUUUCCCCCCCUCAGGCCUAACUAGGUUGUAAUCACAUAGACAAAGCUUCUGGUAGAUUGCAACUGUGAGCAGACACCUACAUAUAGUUGAAAAAUCUGGUCUUUUUUGGUAAAGAGAUGUAAAAUGUCUGAUGUAAGCCAUGCAACAGGGAUGUGAGUUUCCCUGAAUGGCAUAUAUAUGAUACGUCAGAUUAAUUAUUACUAUUUUUUACCAUUUGUACUUACAUAAUGAAAAUGAGCUCACUUUAUGUUCAAGUUAUUAUUUUGUAAGUUGUAGAAUAUGCAAUUAAAGUUUUAAUUGUGAAUUUUUCCCAAUAAAUGAGGUAUUCUAAAAAAAGAAUUUGUAUAGUUAGAUUUCCCCUGGCAACCAGAUAUUUUAU